rnacentral:rRNA from 1 species
AUGCACGCUGGCGGCGUGCUUAACACAUGCAAGUCGCACGAUGAAGCCCAGCUUGCUGGGUGGAUUAGUGGCGAACGGGUGAGUAACACGUGAGUAACCUGCCCUUGACUCUGGGAUAAGCCUGGGAAACUGGGUCUAAUACUGGAUAUGACUUCUCAUCGCAUGGUGGGGGGUGGAAAGAUUUAUUGGUCUUGGAUGGACUCGCGGCCUAUCAGCUUGUUGGUGAGGUAAUGGCUCACCAAGGCGACGACGGGUAGCCGGCCUGAGAGGGUGACCGGCCACACUGGGACUGAGACACGGCCCAGACUCCCACGGGAGGCAGCAGUGGGGAAUAUUGCACAAUGGGCGCAAGCCUGAUGCAGCGACGCCGCGUGAGGGAUGACGGCCUUCGGGUUGUAAACCUCUUUCAGUAGGGAAGAAGCGAGAGUGACGGUACCUGCAGAAGAAGCGCCGGCUAACUACGUG